AUGCGUCGGUUGCAUCAGACAAAUAAUUCACCAUGGCUUCUAAUUGGGGAUUUGAAUGAGAUACAAUAUCUGAAUGAGAAGGAAGGUGGUAACCCAAGGCCGCAACAAUAUAUGGUAGUUUUUCAGUCUGUCAUAAGCAAUUGUGAUCUGAGAGACAUGGGGUUCGUUGGCAAUAAGUUUACGUGGCAGAGAGGUCGGAUAAGGGAGAGACUGGAUAGGGGACUCAUCAAUGAUGCCUGGACCACGUUAUACCCGGAUGCCGCAUUACAAAACUUGAAUUACAAUCAUUCUGACCAUAGGCCGCUUUGCGUUGAUACAGAUUAUUAUUCCCAAUAG
rnacentral:rRNA from 1 species